CGAGAAAUCGGUACUAAUACCGCAUAACACUAUGAGAGGCAUCUCUUGUGGUUGAAAGUUUCGGCGGUUACAGAUGGGCAUGCGUUGUAUUAGCUGGUUGGUAAGGUAACGGCUUACCAAGGCGACGAUACAUAGGGGGACUGAGAGGUUAACCCCCUACAUUGGUACUGAGACACGGACCAAACUCCUACGGGAGGCAGCAG
rnacentral:rRNA from 1 species